UACGUAGGGUGCAAGCGUUGUCCGGAAUUAUUGGGCGUAAAGAGCUCGUAGGCGGUCUGUUGCGUCGGCUGUGAAAACCCGGGGCUCAACCCCGGGCCUGCAGCCGAUACGGGCAGACUAGAGUUCGGCAGGGGAGACUGGAAUUCCUGGUGUAGCGGUGAAAUGCGCAGAUAUCAGGAAGAACACCAAUGGCGAAGGCAGCUCUCUGGGACGGUACUGACGCUGAGACGCGAAAGCGUGGGGAGCGAACAGG
rnacentral:rRNA from 1 species